rnacentral:rRNA from 1 species
GGGUUAAGUCCCAUAACCGAGCGCAACCCUACCUUUAGUUGCCAGUCAGGUUAAGCGUGGGACUCUAAGGAACUGCCUACGCAAGUAGUGAGGAAGGCGGGGAUGACGUCAAAUCAGCACGGCCCUUACGUCCAGGGCUACACACGUGCUACAAUGGCCGAUACAGAGGGCAGCUACCUGGUGACAGGAUGCAAAUCUCCAAAGUCGGUCUCAGUUCGGAUCGGAGUCUGCAACCCGACUCCGUGAAGUUGGAUUCGCUAGUAAUCGCGCAUCAGCCAUGGCGCGGUGAAUACGUUCCCGGGCCUU